rnacentral:snRNA from 1 species
AUACUUACCUGGCAGGGGAGAUACCAUGAUCACGAAGGUGGUUUUCCCAGGACGAGGUUUAUCCAUUGCACUCCAGAUGUGCUGACCCCUGCGAUUUCCCCAAAUGUGGGAAACUCGACUGCAUAAUUUGUGAUAGUGGGGGACUGCAUUCACGCUCUCCCCUG